rnacentral:rRNA from 1 species
AACGAACGCUGGCGGCAUGCCUAACACAUGCAAGUCGAACGAGACCUUCGGGUCUAGUGGCGCACGGGUGCGUAACGCGUGGGAAUCUGCCCUCUGGUUCGGAACAACAGUUGGAAACGACUGCUAAUACCGGAUAAUGACUUCGGUCCAAAGAUUUAUCGCCUGAGGAUGAGCCCGCGUCGGAUUAGCUUGUUGGUGAGGUAAAAGCUCACCAAGGCGACGAUCCGUAGCUGGUCUGAGAGGAUGAUCAGCCACACUGGGACUGAGACACGGCCCAGACUCCUACGGGAGGCAGCAGUGGGGAAUAUUGGACAAUGGGCGAAAGCCUGAUCCAGCAAUGCCGCGUGAGUGAUGAAGGCCUUAGGGUUGUAAAGCUCUUUUACCCGGGAUGAUAAUGACAGUACCGGGAGAAUAAGCCCCGGCUAACUCCGUGCCAGCCGCCGCAGUAAGAC